rnacentral:tRNA from 1 species
GAGUGUGCAGCGCAGUGGUGUGCUCCUGUGUUGUGAUACAGGGGGUCUAGGGUUCGAUUCCCUCCCCAAUUC